CUUGGUCAUUUAGAGGAAGUAAAAGUCGUAACAAGGUCUCCGUUGGUGAACCAGCGGAGGGAUCAUUACAGAGUUAUCCAACUCCCAAACCCAUGUGAACUUAUCUCUUUGUUGCCUCGGCGCAAGCUACCCGGGACCUCGCGCCCCGGGGGGCCCGCCGGCGGACAAACCAAACUCUGUUAUCUUCGUUGAUUAUCUGAGUGUCUUAUUUAAUAAGUCAAAACUUUCAACAACGGAUCUCUUGGUUCUGGCAUCGAUGAAGAACGCAGCGAAAUGCGAUAAGUAAUGUGAAUUGCAGAAUUCAGUGAAUCAUCGAAUCUUUGAACGCACAUUGCGCCCAUUAGUAUUCUAGUGGGCAUGCCUGUUCGAGCGUCAUUUCAACCCCUAAGCACAGCUUAUUGUUGGGACUCUACGGCUUCGUAGUUCCCCAAAGACAUUGGCGGAGUGGCAGCAGUCCUCUGAGCGUAGUAAUUCUUUAUCUCGCUUUUGUUAGGCGCUGCCCCCCCGGCCGUAAAACCCCCAAUUUUUUCUGGUUGACCUCGGAUCAGGUAGGAAUACCCGCUGAACUUAAGCAUAUCAAUAAGCGGAGGAA
rnacentral:rRNA from 1 species